rnacentral:pre_miRNA from 1 species
CAGGUACUCCCUCCGUUCGGAAUUACUCGUCGCAGAAAUGGAUGUAUCUAGACGUAUUUUAGUUCUAGAUACAUCCAUUUUCGCGACAAGUAAUUCCGAACGGAGGGAGUAGUUC